rnacentral:rRNA from 1 species
AUUGAACGCUGGCGGCAGGCCUAACACAUGCAAGUCGAGCGGAUGAAGGGAGCCUGCUCCUGGAUUCAGCGGCGGACGGGUGAGUAAUGCCUAGGAAUCUGCCUGGUAGUGGGGGAUAACGUCCGGAAACGGGCGCUAAUACCGCAUACGUCCUGAGGGAGAAAGUGGGGGAUCUUCGGACCUCACGCUAUCAGAUGAGCCUAGGUCGGAUUAGCUAGUUGGUGGGGUAAAGGCCUACCAAGGCGACGAUCCGUAACUGGUCUGAGAGGAUGAUCAGUCACACUGGAACUGAGACACGGUCCAGACUCCUACGGGAGGCAGCAGUGGGGAAUAUUGGACAAUGGGCGAAAGCCUGAUCCAGCCAUGCCGCGUGUGUGAAGAAGGUCUUCGGAUUGUAAAGCACUUUAAGUUGGGAGGAAGGGCAGUAAGUUAAUACCUUGCUGUUUUGACAUUACCAACAGAAUAAGCACCGGCUAACUUCGUG